rnacentral:rRNA from 1 species
CAGUAGCCGCGGUAAUACGUAGGUGGCAAGCGUUGUCCGGAAUUAUUGGGCGUAAAGGGCUCGCAGGCGGUUUCUUAAGUCUGAUGUGAAAGCCCCCGGCUCAACCGGGGAGGGUCAUUGGAAACUGGGAAACUUGAGUGCAGAAGAGGAGAGUGGAAUUCCACGUGUAGCGGUGAAAUGCGUAGAGAUGUGGAGGAACACCAGUGGCGAAGGCGACUCUCUGGUCUGUAACUGACGCUGAGGAGCGAAAGCGUGGGGAGCGAACAGGAUUAGAUACCCCAGUAGUCCCUGUCUUUAUACA